GGUAGUUGCCACGAGGCCAGUGGCCACGUGUGCGGAGGAAGACACGCCAUCUUUAGAACAUUUUACCAACGCUCAAGAGUUGACCUCAACCCCUCACGUGUCCUCGCUGCAGGAGGUCCAUGAGCCGUGACGACCCGCUGAUCCCCGAGGAAGAGAGAGUCCGAGUGUUGAGGGAAUGGGAUGAAGAGGAUGAUGAGGAUGAUGAUGAUACAGGAGCGUGCAGGUUCCAGUUCUUCUUGUUUGGUGUGAAGUGGAAUGCUGCUGCUGGUCUUCUUCGGUGUUUUCCACUUCCAUGAGGAAUGCUCGGAGCUCUGGAUGCGCCCGGAUCGGCCCCCUGGGCUCCAUGAAUUGUCAUCGGCGAUACUGUGAAGGAAGGCGGAGACGUGUGAGCACAUCGAGUCGUGUCCGGAUCGGCCUGAGCGUCCGGCCCGUCGGCAGAUAACCUGCAGCGAAGCGUCCGGUGUCAAUCUAGUGGAGCUCAUCGAUGGUUGACCAAGUUAUUUACAGUCUCUCUUAGUACUAAUUAAAAUGAACACAUCAAUAUCAAGAAUGUUUCUCCAGUGCUGAUGUACAACAGUCUAAAUCUACACAACUUAAAAACACAUUAUGGUUGUACUGUAACUAGCUUUUUUAUGUUAUGAAGGCGAAUGCUGUGUGUCUACGUUUGUAAUCUUCACCUGCAGCUAACAAGUUCUAAGUUCUUUUUCAUUCAGGCAUAAUUAAACUAUUUACAAAUAACAUUUAAUGGAGACUGCACGGUGAACCAGUGACGUCUUCACAUCGCUUGUGUCCAAAACUGGAAAUUAAUAUUUAAAUUCUCCUAUUUCCAUUUUUGCUUGAUAAAUGAUUCAAACAAUUGAUCUUUUUUGUUUUUAAUAACAUGUCAGUUGUACAUGAACUGUGUGUCGUCUAGUUGAUUAUUUGACCGUUUCUGCAAUUCUCCCGACAGCCGACAAAACUCAUUUAUUUCAGGUUUAGAAUUUAUUAAUCUUGAAUGGAUGAAAGUUAUUGAUGAACUCAAACAUUAAGACAUCAAAAUACAUCAGAAUUAUCGGCUAUUCUUAGUUUGAAUUUGUUCAACCCAAGUUUAUCUCCAUAUCAACACUCAAGUGUCCAAAGUGUUUCCUUUUGUCUUAAUGGAACUUCUCAAGUCUCUUUUCAACCAGACGACACUUCAGUAGCACAUUAUUAGAAUUACCGUCAGGGUGUCUCCGUCCCACACCGGAGACAGUGAUCAGCUUCAUUUCAGGAAGCUCUGGACUUGAGUUCCUCUGAACUACAAUUAAAGCAUCUACUGCAUUGUGACAGAAGCCUGGAGCCAUCCGACAUGCUGAGCCCUGCUUGGUGUUCGUGGUACUGCGGCGCCCCGCGGUGGACGUGUGAGGUCACAGCAGCAGUGCAGCAGGCCGUUGGUUUGUGUGAUGUUUUUAAAAGUUCUGCUGCAGAUGUUUUGUGCUAAUCAUUUAUACCAAAUAAAAAGGAAUGCCAUAGGCAAGUUAUUCAAGACAUGUUUUACUCUUCGUUUUCAUUUAUAUAAAACACAAUAGAGAAAUCAAUAUACACUUAUAACAUUAUCAAAGGCACUGAUGUUAGAGUACAACAACACAGGACAAAUGUUCCUCAGUUAGCAUCCUGUUUUAUGGGGGAAAUUUUGGCCGAUUGCCCGAUUAAGCUUCAGCUAAACUUUAGUAAGGACAACAGCAAAAACCAUUGUUAAUAUAUAUGUAGAAAAUCCCUUUUAUUUAUAUUUUCACGCUGACGGCUUUGCUAACAGGAAUAUAGCAAAAAGAGAGUUUGUAGCAGUAACUUACAACUCAUUUAGAUGCUGAUCAACAUCUCCUAACUUUACAACAUGAAAACAUGCUCAAACAGAAUGAACUCUGGUUAGAAGCGGUAGUGUAAUAAAGGAUAAAAGGUAGCGACGUGCACUCUUUUCCACUAAUGACAUGUAAAAACAGAUUUAACGGAUGCGUGAACCGUGAGCAUGUUAGCGCCGAGGGUUCAAAGGUCAAACGUUAUCCUCCUCCCAAUUUACUGUUUGCACUUUAUCCAUAUAAAUGACUCGACUUUGCCACACUGAGCAUUUCAUGUCCUGCGACUGACAGAACGAUAACGAAGCUUUCAUUAUUCCAGCAUGUC